AAUCUUUCACAUACUUCUUUCCUACGAUGUCUCUUUCCAUCCUCUUAUGAUUUUGUUUAAGCAGUACAUGUCAUACAUUCCAAACUUUUCACAUGCUCCAUAUAUGUUCUUUGAAAUCCCUUCCUUUUCUUAUUAGUAAAAGUCUUUUUCAAGCUCGUCGAGAGGUACCUUAGUUAAGUC
rnacentral:sRNA from 1 species